rnacentral:rRNA from 1 species
UACGUAGGGUGCAAGCGUUAAUCGGAAUUACUGGGCGCAAAGCGUGCGCAGGCGGCGAUGUAAGACAGAUGUGAAAUCCCCGGGCUCAACCUGGGAACUGCAUUUGUGACUGCAUCGCUGGAGUGCGGCAGAGGGGAAUGGAAUUCCGCGUGUAGCAGUGAAAUGCGUAGAUAUGCGGAGGAACACCGAUGGCGAAGGCAAUCCCCUGGGCCUGCACUGACGCUCAUGCACGAAAGCGUGGGGAGCAAACAGG